AACUUGGCUGGGGAACAGCAGUGUAGGCCUGUUUGGAGAAACGCCCUCCACUUGCUCAGGGCUCCAUUCCCCUUUGCCCUACAGAAGAGCAGCCAGGCCUGGCUCCUUCCCAGCAGAGAGGUACUGGAUCCCCUGCCCUGGCCUGGAAUGCACUGUGGGAGUAGCCAGGUACUCCUGGUGGCCUCUCUUCCCCCAAGCCUUGGAUUUGCCCUGGAGAGCUAGGCUGCUGGGUGACCGGACACCCUGCAUCUGAAGCUCACUCAGAGCUGGGGAGGCCCUUGGGUAUUUUUCCUAGGCUGGCCUUGCACUCCUGACUGUUCUGCCCAGCCUCUGACUGCUGGCAUAGCAGGUGUGCCCUACCACACCCGCUAGCCUCUUUGAUGCUCUGAGCAGCCUAAAGCAGCCCUGCUUCUUGCUCCCAUGUCUCACUGAAGCACCUGGAGCAACUGCCUGUUUACCUGACUUUCACCAGAUAAUGGGAGCGGUCUUGCUAUGCAGCCUAUACUAUCAAGAACUUAAAGAGUUCUCCUACCUAGCCCCACCAGUGCUGGGAUUACAGCUUGGACCACCAAGCCUGGCUUCAGUGGAAGACUUAAAACACUAGCUGUGCAGGUCCUCACCUGAGAGACGUGAGAAUGGAGGUGUGGGAGGACGAAGGCACUGCAGUCAGUUUUUCAUCACUUGCCAAGACUGCUUCCCCGUGUUGCA